ACCUAAUAGAUACCCUGGUAGUCCACGCCCUAAACGAUGCGAACUGGAUGUUGGGUACAUUACGGUACUCAGUGUCGAAAGCUAAACGCGUUAAGUUCGCCGCCUGGGGAGUACGGUCGCAAGACUGAAACUCAAAGGAAUUGACGGGGGCCCGCACAAGCGGUGGAGUAUGUGGUUUAAUUCGAUGCAACGCGAAGAACCUUACCUGGCCUUGACAUCUGUCGAAUCCUGCAGAGAUGCGGGAGUGCCGCAAGGAACGACAAGACAGGUGCUGCAUGGCUGUCGUCAGCUCGUGUCGUGAGAUGUUGGGUUAAGUCCCGCAACGAGCGCAACCCUUGUCCCUAGUUGCCAGCACGUAAUGGUGGGAACUCUAGGGAGACUGCCGGUGACAAACCGGAGGAAGGUGGGGGAUGACGUCAAGUCCUCAUGGCCCUUA
rnacentral:rRNA from 1 species